rnacentral:rRNA from 1 species
UGGGGAAUAUUGGACAAUGGGCGCAAGCCUGAUCCAGCCAUGCCGCGUGAGUGAAGAAGGCCUUAGGGUUGUAAAGCUCUUUCACCUGCGAAGAUGAUGACGGUAGCAGGAGAAGAAGCCCCGGCUAACUCCGUGCCAGCAGCCGCGGUAAUACGGAGGGGGCUAGCGUUGUUCGGAUUUACUGGGCGUAAAGGGCGCGUAGGCGGUAUGCCAAGUCAGGGGUGAAAGGCCUGGGCUCAACCCAGGAACUGCCUUUGAAACUGGCAAACUAGAGUCCGAUAGAGGAUGGCGGAAUUCCCAGUGUAGAGGUGAAAUUCGUAGAUAUUGGGAAGAACACCAGUGGCGAAGGCGGCCAUCUGGAUCGGCACUGACGCUGAGGCGCGAAAGCGUGGGGAGCAAACAGGAUUAGAUACCCCCGUAGUCC